UACGGGGGGGCAAGCGUUGUUCGGAAUUACUGGGCGUAAAGGGUGCGUAGGCGGUUCGCUAAGUUGGGUGUGAAAACUCUGGGCUUAACCCAGAGCCUGCAUUCAAAACUGACGGGCUAGAGUUCUGGAGGGGGUAGCGGAAUUCCUGGUGUAGCGGUGAAAUGCGUAGAUAUCAGGAGGAACACCGGUGGUGUAGACGGCUAUCUGGACCGUAACUGACGCUGAGGCACGAAAGCGUGGGUAGCAAACAGG
rnacentral:rRNA from 1 species